CUUAAAUGUUAUGAUAUUUUGUGACGGAUAGUGAGACCAGCUUUCACUUUUCUGCCAUACAAAAUAAACUGAGCAGGUAUGCAUAUCUCGUUGAUAACCGAGCUGCCUUUUUCAAGACACCAUUGUGAUCUGUGGCUGUAAGUAACAUAAAUGUAAUAUAUGAUCUUCCAUUAAAGAAACCAGAUAAGGUUAAAUUGCCACCGUUUCUUGGAAAAUUUUGGUUAGAUAGAAUAAAGAAUUUUCUGGCAGUCAACAACAUAUUAGUCUAUGUUUCCGAUAUGGGUUUACUAGUUUUCUUGAUAGAUUCUUAGCAGAAAAAUGAGGAAGGUAUAUACUCAGAAGACUGUCAUGAUGAGCCGUUGAGCCAAAUCUAUGCAAAAGCAUAAUACCAAAAAGAUAUAUUUCUCUCUGUAUAUACAUGUAUAAAAUUGUGGUUCUUCUAAAAGCAUAUAAGAAUUUUAUAUAGUCAAUUUUAAAAGGAUAUCUGUAUUUCAGAAGAUGUUGGCCAGUCAAUUGGAUACUCACUACAUGAAUCUGGAUAUAAAAAUAUGGGGUUUUCUUCCUUUGAUUUGCUACUGUUUUAUGACAAUGGAAAAGAAAUCAAUGUGUGUAGAGAACAGCUUACUUUUCCUGGUAUCACAGUCUAACCUUUAGGUUGCAGGGUCAUUAGGAUUUCAAAGUGACAGUACUGAAUGUGACUCUUCCUGAAGCCCCUUGCAGAUGGUAAAAUAAAUCUCCCUAAUUGCAAACCUAACCAUAUGCUGGCUAAUUUAAUGUUGGGAAAUAUUCUUCAAUAUUAUUUACCAUACCACAUGUAUAUUAUAUAUACUAUAUAAUAUAAACUAUAUAAUGGUAUAUAGUAUGUCAGUAUACAUUCUAAUUCAUAUUAUAUAUGCAUGCUUAUAUAUUGUCCAGUGCUACGUAACUAUGGGUAGCCUCACUUUCCCCCACCCCAAUUUCUUCUCAUAUCGUUAAGCUAAGACAACACCACAAGGUUGGAGUACUUCAGAACUGGAGAAUGGCCACAGAAAUCAGCCUUGGUUUUUAACUAAUGUGUGGGAAGUGAGGUUCAGAGAGGUUAUGUCAUUUGCCCAAUCUCACACGGCCAGUUACAGGAAGAGGGCAGGUCUGAAAACACACACACUCUCAACACCCACCGACACACACACUCGGAAUGUACACUCAGUGCACCUAGAAAUUCAACACCCACGGACACACACACUCAGAUAUGUACACUCAGUGCACCUAGAAAUUCAACACUCACCGACACACACACUCGGGAUGUACACUCAGUGUGCCUAGAAAUUCAACACCCACCGACACACACACUCGGGAUGUACACUCAGUGCACCUAGAAAUACACAUUUCUGUGAACUCAAAGCGAACAGGGUGGAGAAGUGCACAAUGCUUCAUAGUUUUAGAUCUCAGAGACACGAAAGCACUUGAACUUUUGCAUUCUGCCUCAACCAUCUCACUUCUGCUCCCAGUGUGUGUGUAGAAUCAGAAGACAGCCCCAGCCACACUGUGACCUGCAGGCUGUGAGGCUGUGUUUCACCUGCUUGAGUGGGCAAUGGAAUUACCUGGGCAUUCUAGUUUGGUAGGUUGGUCUAGGGUGAAGGGCCUGAGAAUUUGGAGUUCUAAUAAGGUCCCAGGUGAUGCUGAGGCUGCCGAUACAGGGAGCACGCUGGGAAUAUCUGCAUGAGAGGGAGAGCUCCUCCUGAUACUCAAGCUUCCAAUGUGCAUUACUACUUCCCUUCUCCUGCCUGCUUCUGAUUUGCUGUGUGCUGGGGAGAAACACGCGAACUAAAUAUGCCUGAACUGUGUUUAGACUGUGUUCAUGAGCAAUGACUGACGGCCUCCUUUUGGUGAUAACUAUUUGGCCGUCUUUUCAUUUUUUUAACUCUUCAAUACACACAGAGCAGCUGAAAAUGCCCAAACUCUGCCCUGCAGAUAGGCCGGUGUGUGACCGUCUCUGUCUCCUACAAUAACUGGGCACAUUCUGUCAGAGUCACUGUCAUGAUAAUCAGUCUGAUUGCUAAGGUGAACCCCAGAUUCUCAAGUAGGAAGUAAUUUCUGCUGUGCCAUCUAUAGAAAGACUUUGGGGAAUGGCAGGGAAGGGUUACAUGGAACCUUUAUUCCGUUCCACAAAUGCAGCAGUUAAGUUCUCUGAGUGCCCACAGGACCGGGUGUUAAUGCAGAUGCCACAAUCCUCCUCCCCUCUAGAGAAACAACAUGGUCCCAGGGAAACGUGAAUGCUAGAGUAGGCGUUAAGAAUUCUCCAUUCUAAAUCUGCUUUUCUACCAACCUUUGCUGUGGACAAGAACAAGUCUCUUCAUCACUGAGGCUCCGUAUCUGGAAGCCUGGAAUUAAGAGACUAAGAAGGAUUACUCCAAGGGACUCUAAAAGCAUCCACAACAAUUACAUCUGCUGCCAUUAUCUACUCAACUGGUUCUAAGCACGGUCUUUCUUGAACAACUUCUAAUGAGGUUACGACUUUCAAAGUUUUCCCUUUUGUCUUUUUUCAGGCAGACACCUGGCUGCGGGAGCCACUGCCAAGUCUAGCUGUCAGAUGAGGAAUCUGAGGGUCUAAGAGGAGACAUGAGCUGCUGAGAUUGACUGAGCUAGCAGGGCCAGACAUAGACUCCACGGGCAGGCCCGCAGUCUUUCCACCAGGUCAGGCCACUCCCUCGCCCAGGGCUCAAGAUUCCUUUUAGAGUUCAACAGAGCAGCUCCCGAGAACAGACCAGCCCUCAAGACUCAAAUUUCAGUGGUUUCCAGUUCUUUCUCCCUGCACUCAGCUACCUAUUUAUUUUGAGACUGGCUGAAUCACCCGAAGAAUAGAACGGGUUUCUCUGAAGCUGCUCCCGGCAGCAUGUCAGCAAAUGAACAGGACAGCGAGCUGGCCUCUGGAGCCUUGGAAGAUUCUCACCUCCAAGCAGCUGCAGUUUUUGACUCGUCCUGGGAAACUGGCACUGAGACUCAGGGGUGUAACAUUUCACCUCCCUGAAAUCAAAUCCAGAAAUCUCAGGCGAGCAGCAUAUAUAAAAAGCCACAGGGGAAAAAAGGAAUACGGACUCAGCAACUCUUAGGUGCUCUGAGCCUCUUCCCAAGCCUUCUGGUUCUGUGAGCAUUUCAUUGAAAGAAAAUGGAAUAACAGAGUUUUAGAAGAAAAACUGUAUUUGGUCUUGCAAGAGAAAAGUAUAUUCAUAUAAAACUCAGUUCUCAACUAUUUGCCAAGGUUACUUCUUUUGUUUCCAACAUUUAAAAAGGGUAUCUAGUUGUAGGUAGAGAAAACAUUAAGAUAUGUGAAUGGAAAAAGGUAAAAUUUCUAAAAGUAUGGAUUCACAGUGGGGUCUGAUUUAAAUGUUUAAAUUUUUUCUCUUUAAUUUCUUCUCACCAAUCCUGAAAGACACGACGAGAUAAUAUCUACUUUCAAUAAAUCAAUUAAUUUUAUUUAAAAUCCCUAAGAUUUUAAUAUAGUACAUGCAAAACAAUAAUAGAUUUUCUAUUUUUUAAUUAUCUAAUUAUAUUUAUAUUAUCUAAUUGACAGACUACUUAAAAAGCACAUUGAUAUAUAUUAUCUCAAUGUGUCCUCAAGAACCCUGUGCAGUAGGCAGAACUCAUAGUAUUAUUCCCAUCUUAUAGAUGACCCAGGGGAAGCUUCUAGAUGCUCAGAGCUUUGCAGGUCACACAACAGCAUAGGUGCUUCAUGUUAAGAAGCAGAACUGCAUUUUGAUAAAACCUUUAAUUGGAAAAAGAUCACCUCUCCCUCAAGGAAGUAGGGCAACAUGGUUGACAGGGUUAUGUUUCAAUGAGGAAUACAUUUGUUGAAGCCAGUUCAGUGAUGCAGUAAUUGGAAUUAAUAAUAGGUAGUAUGGAAGGAAAAGAGAAAAAGCCCUUAUUGUACUGUAUUGUGAGGGCCAAAUCUGCCAAGCUUUUUUUUUUCUUCUUUUUUUUUAAGUACUUGGCAAUGGUAAAUAUUUGGCCCCCACUUGAACAGAAUUCCAUUUGUUUCCUCUCAUAAGGUCUUUGGGACAUGGUCAAGGGGCCUACCCGUCUAGAGCAUGUGCUUUAAUAAUAGCAGCUAAUAUUUAAGGAACACUUCUGUGCCCAGCACGGUGCUAUGCCCUAACAUGAAUUAUUUUAUUCAAUCCGCACAAUAAUCCCCAACAGAGGGAUAUCAUACUCCUGGUUUUAUACCCAAGGAGGCUGAGGGUGGGGAGGUUAAUCUGAUCCCGAAGGGGAGGCCAGGCUGAAUCAGGAAGCCAGCUCUGGAGCUUCGCCAUCAGCCACUGCUCCAGCUCGCCUUUCAGGCUAUCUCUUUUAAUCCUCACAUCCCCUAGCAAGAGAGGUAUCAUGCAGUCCAUUCUACAGAUGGGAAAACUGUGAAACGCAGUUUUAGACUUGAAGCUCCAAACUCCUUUCUCGCUCACCGAGGCUACCUGAGCACCCUGGUUCACUUUAUUUUUUGAGACAGAGUCUCACUCUGUCACCCAGGCUGGAGUGCAGUGGAGCAAUCUCGGCUCACAGCAACCUCUGCCUCUCGAGUUCAAGUGAUUCUCCUGCCUCAGCAUCCCGAGUAGCUGGGAUUAUAGGCGCCUGCCACCAUGCCCGGCUAAUUUUUGUAUUUUUAGUAGAGACGGGGUUUCACCAUGUUGGCCAGGCUGGUCUCGAACUCCUGACCUCAGGUAAUCGGCCCACCUCGGGCUUCCAAAGUGCUGGGAUUACAGGCGUGAGCUACCGCGCCCAGCCCCCUGGUUCACUUUUGAAACACUGGGCUAUGCCUGGCGAGUAGUGUCCGAGAGGCGCGUGGGACGUGGCUCCGCAUAUUUCUCCUAGCUCUUUCAAAUGAAUGAACUGGAAAUAUCAUACAACCACUUCAAAGGUAAGUGAAAAUAAGGUGGUACCAGGAAAAUAUUCAAAGGGCCAUAAAUCUAUGUAGUAUCUAGGAACUUAUUUCAAAUGUUUACUCUUUAUUUUAAAUAAUCAGAAUAUGACUUUUAAGCCAUGGUGAACAAAAACAAAUACAAAAUCAAACAAGUAUCAAAUGUUCGACAUUUCAGUAUAUGGAAGUACACUGAAAGAUUUCAAUAGCAGUCUGGGUUUUUGUCAAUAAUUGCUUUAAUGGAAACUAAGUAUAUGUAUAUCAUGAAAGUACCAAACCAAUGUACUGCCUUUAAAUAACUUUCUAGGGGUCUUGAGAGUUGGCAGAUUGAUUCCAUUGUGUUACUUUUUGAAAAGGCAAACAGAAAAGAACUUUGCUUUGGGUAC
rnacentral:lncRNA from 1 species